GAAAUAAGUAAUUCAAGAAUAAGCUUCUAACUUAAUUCUUAAGCAAUGAAAUUUUGUUUUUAUUUCU
rnacentral:tRNA from 2 species